rnacentral:lncRNA from 1 species
ACCUCUGCACUGUCAGAAAAUUUCCCUGAGUUCCAAACCUUAGGAAGACUGUCAUUUUACCUCACAAAAGUUAAUGCUAUGAUGUCUUGUGUAUUUUGCAGGAGAGAAGUAAUAACUGCUUCCCGUUUGGACGGAUGGAAUUAUGUAAAACUUCGCAGAAAUACUGAGGCGAAGAAACUCUUGAGCAUACUUUCACCAAUUUUCCCCUCAGGCUGCCUCUGUCCUUAUCCCAUUUAAUAUCAUAUGAUAAAACUUUUCCAUUGCACCACUUCAUAUUCUAAAAUGUUCCCAUAGGUUACCUCCCUCCCUAAUUAAUGCUUUCAUUCCAUAUUUAUUAUCCCUGUUUUCUUUCUCCUGGCAUCAAUGUGAGUACUUUCUCUGCUAGCAUCUUAACUCUAGCCCCUCAAAGCUCUCCACUCCCCUUUCUCUCUUCCUCCCUUCCUCCCACCAGCGCAUCCUUUCCCAGACGUUCUCCUCUCGCCUCUGCCUCCCCCCAGUCCUCCAACCCCCGACUUCCCUGAAGCGUCGUCUUUCUCUUAGUCACCUACCCAAUUCCCUCGCCCACUACCAUUUUCUAUGAAGAUACCCCAUCUCCUACUGAUGUUCCCGCUUAGAAUCUCCUCAAACAUCGUGACCCCAAUUGCCUAUGCCCCAUCUUAUUCACCGCCUUUCCUCUCUCUGGCCCCUCUGCUUCUCACCUCGGAGGCUCUAGCCCCACCUUGUUCCCCCGUAGGUAGGCAGGGAACCAGCGCUCUAGAAGCAGGGGAGUGGGGGAUUCCCCUCCUUUCUACGUCUCCUUCUCCUCUCCGCCCCCCGCCCUUCCUGCGUUGCUGCGCUUCCUGGGCCACUGGGUUUGGACUACUGCAGCAGCUGCUGUUCUGCUGUGUCAUGGAAGGAGGCAGCGGGCAGUGGCUGGAGCACAAGGGGGAGGAGGGGAGGAACCUGAUCUCCGGUACCGAGGGGCUGGAGGCAAACGCCCAGCUCCCACGGAGCCGCCUUAUAGCGGGGCAGGUGGCAGCCCUCCUACCCCGGGUGACACCCACCUCGGGGAUCAUGAAUCUAUGUCUUCUUAGUCCAGAAUCCACUCAAGCACAUUGCCUCCCUAUUAUUAUACAUAGGUAUGUAUAUUUUUAA